rnacentral:rRNA from 1 species
UCCGCCCGAGUACUACGAGCAGAAGCUUAAAACUCAAAGGACUUGGCGGUGACUCAGACCCACCUAGAGGAGCCUGUUCUAGAACCGAUACUCCCCGUUCAACCUCACCGCCCCUUGUUAAAUCCGCCUAUAUACCGCCGUCGUCAGCCAACCCUGUGAAGGACUAACAGUAAGCAACAAGGGAUUGCCCACAAACGUCAGGCCGAGGUGUAGCGUAUGGGGCGGAAAGAAAUGGGCUACAUUUUCUAUAAUUAGACCACACGAAAGGCACCUUGAAACAUGUGCCUAAAGGCGGAUUUAGUAGUAAAAAGCAAA